UACGUAGGGGCGAGCGUUGUCCGGAUUCAUUGGGCGUAAAGAGCUCGUAGGCGGCUUGGCAAGUCGGAUGUUAAAACUCCAGGCUCAACCUGGAGCCGCCAUUCGAUACUGCUAUGGCUAGAGUCCGGUAGGGGAGUGUGGAAUUCCCGGUGUAGUGGUGGAAUGCGUAGAUAUCGGGAGGAACACCAGUGGCGAAGGCGGUUGCCUGGGGCUUUGCUGACGCUGAUGCGCGAAAGCGUGGGGAGCAAAAGGG
rnacentral:rRNA from 1 species